AGAGGAAUUUUUCCCACAAUGGAAGAAAAUUUUGAUGGAACCAAUCCCGCGUGAAGGAAAGAAGGGUUUCGGGUUCGUAAAACUUUGUUGUUAAAAAAGAACCCCUUUGAGAGUAACUGUUCAAGGGUUGACGGUAUUUAACCAGAAAGCCACGGGUUAAUUACGUGCCAGCAGCCGCGGUAAUACGUAGGUGGCAAGCGUUGUCCGGAUUUAUUGGGCGUAAAGCGAGCGCAGGCGGUUUUUUAAGUUUGAUGUGAAAGCCUUCGGCUUAACCGGAGAAGUGCAUCGGAAACUGGGAGACUUGAGUGCAGAAGAGGACAGUGGAACUCCAUGUGUAGCGGUGGAAUGCGUAGAUAUAUGGAAGAACACCAGUGGCGAAGGCGGCUGUCUAGUCUGUAACUGACGCUGAGGCUCGAAAGCAUGGGUAGCGAACAGGAUUAGAUACCCUGGUAGUCCAUGCCGUAAACGAUGAGUGCUAAGUGUUGGAGGGUUUCCGCCCUUCAGUGCUGCAGCUAACGCAUUAAGCACUCCGCCUGGGGAGUACGACCGCAAGGUUGAAACUCAAAGGAAUUGACGGGGGCCCGCACAAGCGGUGGAGCAUGUGGUUUAAUUCGAAGCUACGCGAAGAACCUUACCAGGUCUUGACAUCUUCUGCCAAUCUUAGAGAUAAGACGUUCCCUUCGGGGACAGAAUGACAGGUGGUGCAUGGUUGUCGUCAGCUCGUGUCGUGAGAUGUUGGGUUAAGUCCCGCAACGAGCGCAACCCUUAUUAUCAGUUGCCAGCAUUCAGUUGGGCACUCUGGUGAGACUGCCGGUGACAAACCGGAGGAAGGUGGGGAUGACGUCAAAUCAUCAUGCCCCUUAUGACCUGGGCUACACACGUGCUACAAUGGACGGUACAACGAGUUGCGAAGUCGUGAGGCUAAGCUAAUCUCUUAAAGCCGUUCUCAGUUCGGAUUGUAGGCUGCAACUCGCCUACAUGAAGUUGGAAUCGCUAGUAAUCGCGGAUCAGCAUGCCGCGGUGAAUACGUUCCCGGGCCUUGUACACACCGCCCGUCACACCAUGAGAGUUUGUAACACCCAAAGCCGGUGAGAUAACCUUCGGGAGUCAGCCGUCUAAGGUGACAGAAUUGG
rnacentral:rRNA from 1 species